CCUUUUAAAAAUUGCACCUCCUUUGAAAAAUUCAUAGAUCCGCCACUGCUUGUAUACCCUCAGAGUCGCCCCUGUAACAGUUACGACACAAUGUUAUAAUGCUAGAACUGAGUAUCAUAAAACUAAAUUCUAAAUAGAACGUAAGGUAUUUGAGUUAAAAAAAUAAAGUAUUGUAAAUAUUGCGGAAACGGAAGUCAUAAGGUGGGCCAAAAUAAUCAAAUUUUGAUUUUGAUUUAAUACGAGUCAUGUCACAAUGAAAUCAAAAAUUACACAAAAUCAAACCAAGUGUCGCUACUGUUAGGUCCUUACCACACAACUCCUCAGGCUCACAUCACAUGCAUAAGAAAAUGCAGUUAUAGGGAUGAGCAACAUGUACGACAUUGCUCUCCCGACUAAGUAAAAAUAGUUAUAAUUUUAUAAUACACGAAAAUAAAUUAAUUUCUCAAAACACCAGCAUGUUGCAACAAUGGCGGAGAGUUACCCGAAUGUCACUAUAUACUUACACUGCUCGAUGACCGGACAAUACAUAAUGGAUAUCGUUCACAACGCAAGAGACAAAAUAUCCAAAACAACAAACAGACAUCGCAACAUGCAAUAUGUGACUCAAAAUCACAUUCAAAUUCAAGGCCAAAAUAUAUCAUUUCAAACUUAAGGCCAAAUCCAAUAUUCAGCAAUACUACUAAGAAAAUAUUCAAUCGUAUAAAGCAAUUUGUCAAAAUAUACCCACUACAUGGAUACAUAUUCAGGUCAGUCUGAAAUUUGAGCUGUGUUAGUCCAGAGAAACUUCAAUGCUCAAUUGUAUAAUAACUAGACAAUUACAAGCAUCCGUAAUAGGCUCUCUAAACCACUUUUUUGGACAAAUUUUAGGAGGAAUUGGAAAAAUACAAUUCCAACUAUGCUCUCUAUCCACCUCCUAAAAUAGGAAGACUUCUAAGAGCUUCUAAAUCUGGAGGAGAAAGAGAACUUCUAGUGACUCCCUAUAAUUUAUUACUCCUUUGUUUUGUGCAUAUUUUAAAACUUUUAAUGAAUGUUAACUAUUUUUUAAUAUAUAUUAUUUUUAUUGAGAUGGACCAAUUAUAUUGAAUUAAAAAAUAAUUAUAAUAUUUAUGACUCCUUAAAUUAGGGAGUAUGAUUGGAGUUCGAAUUUUAUAAAAAGCUUCUAAAUAGUUUUUGUGCAUUUUUAACUAAAUUUUAACUAAAAAAUAAAAAACAGGAUUGCGGAAGCUAUAAGUAGACAAAAAGUUCUCAAGAAAGCAGACGAAAUGAUAUUUCAUAAUUAAUAUAAAGAAAUAUGUAGUGCACAGAUUUUUAUUUUUAUUUUUUCUGGGUAAAAUAGCCCACAGAUUUUACAUUCUAAUUUCUACGUACCUUCACCCAGAAACAUAACUAUUUGGACCACUGUAUUUCAGCUAGCCCCAUUUAUUUCAUCAAGUGCCAAAAGAAAUAAAAUCAAAAAGAAAGAAAACCAUCGCACAACAGCGUAGCUGCGUAUCAUUUGAAGAUGCAACAAAAAGAACCAUGAGAUAGGGAGUGUUCCUGUUUCAUUUGAAGAGAAAAGGCACAGUGGUUAACGGAUGGGCAAGACAGUUGGGACUUCCAAAUAGUUAACAAAUGUGUGCACAAACUGAUCAGUACACUCUGAACGACUAUAAUUACUUUAGAAGGAGCAUAAAUUCAUUGAAACCAAGAACCACUAUCGCCAUAAUAGCCUCCUGAGAAUACAAAAGCGAACAGCAUCAUGCAUAAGUUUGCAUGAUUAGAUUGAGCUUCUAAGCGUAAAGAUAGGUAGUUUGUUUGUUGGUUUAUCUUUGUAGGAAAAAACAAGACAACAUUUACUUGCCG
rnacentral:lncRNA from 1 species